rnacentral:tRNA from 1 species
UUCGACUCAUUAAACUAUGAAUAUAUCAUAAUUACCAA